UGACCCAUGAGCCUCUCCAGCUAGAGCCUGGCUAAUAAUUGCCAGAGACACUAGACUCAGAGUUGGGCUCUGCCAUUUAUCAGCUGAUUACGAAGGACUGUGACAUUUUCUUUCCAAUAAGUGGCUCUGGAUUCUAAGUGAUCUCACUGCUGUGAGAAGACGAGCCUCAGCCCAAGUUGCUCUGGGACAGGAUUGUGAUGUCAACCUGUCUAGGAGGAGAGAUGCUGGGAAGGACCAAGGAGACUCCGUGCCACCUGGGAGGAUACAACACCGUCACCGAUCCAGACUGAACUCGUCCUCUGAGAUGUCUCUACCCAAGGUAGUCACCUGCAGUUCAAAUGCCGAGGCUGCUAAAAUACGGCUUACUGUAGAAGAGGCUUGCUCACCAACAGAGCUCAGACUCCAGAGGUGACUAGUUGCCGAAGGGGGGGGGGGAAGAUGAGCACCAAGCAGCCAUGUUCAUCAGCAUUUUGUGCACACAACCACAAAUCUCAAAACGCAAGCAUAUCUGUGUGGCAAGAAAUUAAACCUUGGCAGACACCA